CACGUAGGCACCAAGCGUUGUCCGGAUUUAUUGGGCGUAAAGAGCUCGUAGGCGGUUCGGUUAGUCGGGUGUGAAAACUUUGGGCUCAACCCAAAGCGUGCACUCGAUACUGCCGUGACUAGAGUUCGGUAGGGGAGUGGGGAAUUCCUAGUGUAGCGGUGAAAUGCGCAGAUAUCAGGAGGAACACCGGUGGCGAAGGCGGGUCUCUGGGCCGAUAUUGACGCUGAGGAGCGAAAGCGUGGGGAGCAAACAGG
rnacentral:rRNA from 1 species